UGAGGCAGGAGAAUUGCUUGAACCCAGGAGGCGGAGGCUGCAGUGAGCCAAAAUCGCGCCACUGCACUCCAGCCUGGGUGACAGAGCGAGACUCCGUCUC
rnacentral:miRNA from 10 species